rnacentral:lncRNA from 1 species
CUUAUAUUGAACAUAAGGAAAAAAAUUGCAAAGAGGUUGCAUUUUAAGCUUCCAUUUUGCUUGUGUGGAAGACAUUUUCUUUAUUGCUGCAGAAUUUGCUGGAUGCCCUCACUUACACAGCUUGUGAAGGCUCCCAGUUGAGGAGAGGCUGGACGUGGCCCGUGCUCUCUGCAGGGAGGCCAGGAGCAGAGCUUUGUAGCUGUGCGCAUGGUGCUGAUGGCAGUUGUUUGCUUCAGCUAUGAAUCAAGACUCAGAAAAUGUGUGAUUCUUCUUAAAAGGAUCCUCUCCUCGAUGAGGUAAAUGAGAACGAAUUAAGCAUCGAUCUGAGAGAAUGGGAAGCCUUCCCUGUGCCAGGUUCUGCGCAGGUCAAAUCCUA